UCGAACGCUUUGUCUUUAAUUGAUCUGACGAGCUUGCUCUAAUUUGAUUUUAUCUGACAAAGAGUGGCGAACGGGUGAGUAACACGUGGGUAACCUACCUCUUAGCAGGGGAUAACAUUUGGAAACAAGUGCUAAUACCGUAUAAUACCAACAACCGCAUGGUUGUUGGUUGAAAGAUGGUUCUGUUAUCACUAAGAGAUGGACCCGCGGUGCAUUAGCUAGUUGGUAAGGUAACGGCUUACCAAGGCGACGAUGCAUAGCCGAGUUGAGAGACUGAUCGGCCACAUUGGGACUGAGACACGGCCCAAACUCCUACGGAAGGCAGCAGUAGGGAAUCUUCCACAAUGGACGCAAGUCUGAUGGAGCAACGCCGCGUGAGUGAAGAAGGUUUUCGGAUCGUAAAGCUCUGUUGUUGGUGAAGAAGGAUAGAGGUAGUAACUGGCCUUUAUUUGACGGUAAUCAACCAGAAAGUCACGGCUAACUAC
rnacentral:rRNA from 1 species